rnacentral:lncRNA from 10 species
CUCUGCCUCCUUGUGAAGAAGGUGACUGCUUCCCCUUCGCCUUUCGCCAUGAUUGUAGGUUUCCUGAGGCCUUUUCAAUCAUGUGGAACUACGGGAGGCUCCUAUUCUUUCUUCGUGAUCUGGGCAAUACAUGUCUUGCUGUUAUUGUUGCUUAUUCAGGACACAUAUAUUUCUCAGUGUGAAGACUUUUUAGAAUGUGUAUUCCAUUCAUAUUGAUGGAAGUAGGAGUCACACAGAUUUCCGGUCAGACUUAGAAGUCACACCCAGAAAGGAACUCACCUUCGACUCUUCAAAAGGAUACCACAUAGCCCUAAAAUAAGCUGUUUAUACCAUUCCAAGUGUGUUCUGUGGACCAGCAGCAUUGACAUCACCUGGGAGCUUGCUAGAAAUCCAGACUCUCAUGCACCAUUCCAGACCUGCUGAAUCAGAGGCUGCAUUUUAUCAAGAUCCUCACAUGCUCUCCUGCAUAUCAAAGACUGAGAAGAACAAAUCUGUAACACUAACCUUCCAGCAAAAUUAUCAUUACCUCAGAGCAGAAACUAGCUUAUUCCCUUCUUUUUUUCCAUGACAAGUACAGUAGAGAAAAUAUUAUACAGGUUGAAAAAAAGCUAAAUAAAAUUAUUUUAAAUGAAUGAACAGUUAUAAAACAAAAAAAUAGACCAAGAGGAUCAAAAUUCAGGAUCAAAAUCAGUUCAUUACAAUUCAAAAUUAGACUAUGAGUUAUACAUUUUAAUAAUGUCAUUUUAAAUAUUAAUAAUGACUAACAUUUAUCACUUAUGUGUGACAGAUACUAAUAAGCACUUUUUAUCAUCUUCCUCACAACUUUAUGAGGUAGUAUUACCCCAUUUUAUUAGUGAGGAAAUUGAGAUUUGAGAUUAAGCAAAUUCUCCAAGUCCACUGUUUGAAAGUGGUAGAACUACAAGCUAAAUACAGGCUAUCUGAUUACUUGGCGCUCUGAGUUUCUAAAUGAUGUAAAACUCUAAGACCACAUGAACUUGGAAACCUUGCAAUAGAUCAGGUGAUUGAACCUUACCAAAGUUUGGAUCAAACAAUUGAAUCUGAUCAAAGUUGAUACCUGAGUAGUUCACAUUUUUAAAGAACUGUAGCUUGCUUAUAUGUUUGUGACUGUAAAAUCACAGGCCUGAUUCUACAAAUUUAAAAAGUAUAUUCUAGUAUCAAUGGAGAUGAAAAAUAGGAAAUAAAUUGAGUAAGAAAUGGCAAGAAUGCAUAUAUAUAUACAAAUAGAUAAUAUCCAUCCACAUUUCAAAAUAUUUAAUACAUAUUCAUCCUUGUGGAUGUUUCUAAGUAUAAGCUUUCUGUUUCGCUUGACAGUAGCUGUCAAGUGUAAUUAAUCCUCUCUAUAGCUAGAGAAACUGAGGUUCCAGUCAGUCAAUGUGAAUCAGGGUCCUCUUCAGGUGACGUGUGGACUCAUUGUCAAGAUAUUCGUGUUUAUCAUCACUCUCUACAUUUGGUUUCUCCUGUUGGUGGAAAAUGUAAAAGAAGACAGCAGGUGUGUGUAUCUAAUUACAUGAGUAUGGACCAUGUGUAUAAUGAAUGCUAUCACACACAGGUAGAAAGAUACAUGAAAGGUGGGGUCAGUGAUCCAUAAGGGAGAAGAGGGUACAUUCCUCUGUAAGGGCGGGGACUUUGUUUUGUUCUUCAUGAUAUCCCCAGUGCAAUGCCUGGUAUUUAGAAGGUAUUUGAUUCCUUUGAUUGGGUGAAUAUCCAUGGGGAGUUUCACCACUGGAUACUCAAAAAUUAUCCAUUGAAACUUUGUAAUCAGACAUAUCUGGACUUGAGUAUCAGUCUUACUAGUUCUAUGAUUUUAAGUAAGUUGUUUAAUCUUUAACACCUCAAUUUCCUCAUAUAUAAAAUGGACAUAAUGACGCUAAUCACAUUAAGGUAAGAGGAUCAAGUGAAACACUGUGUAAAUUGCUUAGCAUGGCUUAUGGCACUUUGCAUGCCCAAUAAAUGUAGCUGGAGAUACCAGGUCUCCAAUGGGGUUACAUUGAGUCUCAGUUUUUACCAUGGGAUCCUAGCCUAGCUUAUGAUUUUUCAGAUGUAUAGACCAGAAAGAACCAUGAACUGACAGCCCUUCAGUGGUAGAACCAUGACCAUGAGCAGGCCCUUGACUGUGUCUAGCCCUCCUCAUUCACAGUUCACAGAAGAAAGUCUUUCUUUAAAAUCAGAUGGGCUGGGCACGGUGGCUCAUGCCUGUAAUCCCAGAACUUUGGGAGGCCGAGGCAGGCAGAUCACUUGAGGUCAGGAGUUCAAGACCAGCCUGGCCAACAUGGCAAAACCUCAUCUCUACUGAAAACACAAAAAUUAGCCAAGCGUGGUGGCAGGUGCCUGUAGCCCCAGCUACUCAGGAGGCUGAGGCAGGAGAAUUGCUUGAACCUGGGAGGCGGAGGCUGCAGUGAGCCAAGAUCGCACCACUCCAGCCUGGGCAACAGUGUAAGACUCUGUCUCAAAAAACAAAAUCAGAUGUAGCGUUCUUCUCUGGAUGUCUUUCACCAUCAGAAAGCAUCUCUUCGAGCCUCUUUCACACUCCCAACAGCUGAGUGGAUUCCCACCUAAACAACAAAGACCACCCUGCAGAGGAGUUGUGACCACAAAAGUCAAAGUUGCCCUCUUCAUUUGUGAAGAGGAAAUAUUUCACUUCCCCUGCUUAUUUAGGCCACUCAUUCUUGGGUACCGUGGAAAUAAUUCAGAUCAACUACCCCUGUAUUUAGAUUUCCUUGAUAUUUAGAGGUUUUGAGUUCUGAGCUGUUUAUAUUCCUUUACCCAGGCCCUAAGGGGAUAUAUCUGAUAGAGAAAUUACCUGGGAACUUGAACCUACUGUUGCAUACUUUUAUGGAUGCUGAAAACAAGAGGAGGUAGAUCCAACGCAUGACAAAGGAAGAAUUAAGCCCUUAAGAUGCCAUAAUUUCUGAGGUUAUUCUGAGUGUGACAAUUACGAUGUUGCCAAGAGGCAGUGUGAUGGUUAGUUAGAAAGCUAUGAGCUGUGAGACAAAUUUGCCUUAUGGUCUGUUUUUAUAUGACCUGCAAGCUGAAACUAAAUUUUAUAUUUGUUAAGGGUUAUAAAAGAAGAAGGAGGAGAAGCAGCAGCAGCAGAGAUCAUAUGCGGUAUACAAAUAAAACAUUAAAUAUCUGGCCCUUUACAAAAAUAGUUUGCCAAGCCCUGGUUAGACUUCAGAGCUACACUGCCUGAGAUCAAGUCACACUAGGACAUCUUAUGGUAAAAACUCUACAAUUCAGCUUCUUCAACUUCUAAAUGAGAAAAUAGUAUUUACCUGUUUCUGGCACAAAACAAACCCCAAUUAAAUAUUUUCUUCCAUUACCUAUGUUGAGGCAAACAAAGCAAGAUAAGUGAAUUUAGCUCAACUGUGGUUUUCUUUUUCCUCUUCUAAUUCUGAUUUAUCAUUAUAUUUCCAGCACUUGGCACAUAGUAGAUGUACAGUAAGUAGUUAAUGAGUAUUUUAUGAGUUAAUGGGUAUUAGAGUCUUUGAUUUUUUAAUGUAUUUUAUGUUCCAAAUUAAAAAUAUACCUGUUGGCCAGACAAAUAAAUGAAAGUUUUUAAAAAUAAAGUUUUUCACAUGUAACUGAUCUUCCAAAAAGUAAAUUACAGGAAAAAAAACAAAGAGAAAUCCAGGAAGUAAACUAUAGAUUAAAAGAGAGUUAAUAAGGGUUAAUAAGAUUAACACAAUGUAUAAAUCUUAAUUUUGAAUUAAACAUUUUUUAAAAGUUAUUUAUAAAAUAAUCAGAAAUGUGAACACAGAAUGGAUAUUUGAUGAUAUAUCAAGGAAUUAUUAUUAAUUUUUACAUGAUGUAUUAUGAAUCAUUAUUAUGUUAAAAAUAGAAUCCUAAUCAUUCAGAGAUAAACAUUGAAAUAUAUAUAACAGAAAACAUAUGACAUCUGGAAUUUGCUUUAAAAUAAUAUGAAUCAUUAUAUAGUCUAUGCAUGUAACAAAAUAUCACAUGUAUCCCAUAAAUAUGUACAAAUAUUAUGUAUCAAUUAAAAAAUUAUAAUUGAAUCAAUUAUUAAAUGGGGAAGAAAAGACAAAUCCAUGCAAAAGAAUUUCAAAUAUCUUAUGUAGAUACCCCCUCAAGAAGAAACAUACCUUAAGUGUGGACUGGUUAUAGUGACUUCCUUAGAGGGUGGGGUAGAUUUACUGUAGAAAAACCUAACAAACAUUACUUCAGCCAGGUGAUCAAGGCGAACGUCAGCAGUCAUAAAUCAUGCUGAUAGUGCGACGUGAUGUGAUGUGAUGAAAAUGGCACUUCACCUCUGUGAAUAACCCAUAACCUCAAUCUUAUGUCAUGAGAAAAAAAAUCAGACAAAUUCUAAUAGAGUAUUCUAAAAAUAUCUGACUGGAACUCCUCAAAACUGUCAAGGUCUUCAAAAGCAAGAAAAACUGUCACAGCCAAAGACAACUAAAUACAACAUGAUAUUCCAGGUAGGACCCUGAAACAGAAAAAGGGCUUUAGGCAAAAAAUAAGGAAAUCUAAAUAAAUGAUGGACUUUAGUUAAUAAUAUUGUAUUGAUAUUGGUUUAUUAUUUGUAACAAAUGCAUCAUAAUAAUGUAAGAUAGUAAUAAUAGGGGAAAUUGGGUGUGAUAUAUAUAAGAACCCUCUGUACUGUCUUCUCAAUUUUUCUGCAAAUCUAAAACUAUUAUAAAAAAAAUAAUUUCUAAAAUAUGGGAUGAGGGUUGGGGGGUGGGGAAUUGAUGCCUGAAUAGAUGAAACAAGAUUUGUCCUAGAACUAACAAUUGUGAAAGUUGUGAUAUGGGUACAGACAGAUUCAUUACACUGUUCAUGACAUAGUCUACUAAACAUAUUUAGUAGAUUGUGCUGUCUAUUAAAUAUGUUUGAAGUUUUCCACUGAAAAUGUAAAAAAAAAAACUUUCAAUCAGAAGAGAAGGUUAAGAAAUAGUGUCCUGAAAUGUGGUAUACGUAUAUACACCAUGGAAUACUACUCAGCCAUUAAAAAAAAGAAUAUGAAAUAUCUUUUGCAUCAACUUGGAUGGAGCUGGAGGCCAUUAUUCUAAGUAACUCAGGAACAGACAACUAAAUACUGUGGUUCUCACUUACAAGCAGGAACUAAGUUAUGGGUACACAAAGGCAUACAGAGUAGUUUCAUGGACAUUGGAGACUCGGAAGUAGGGAGGGUGAGAAGGGGAUGAGGGAUGAAAAAAAAUACCUAUUUGGUACAAUGUACACUAUUCAGUGAUGGGUACAUUAAAAUCCCAGACUUUACUAAUUGUACAAUUUAUUCAUGUAAACAUAAAACCACUUGUCCCCCUAAAGCUGAUGAAAUAGAAAAAUUAAAAUGGAAAAAAGAGUGUCCCAAACUACAUUUUUCCUGACAGUUAUACAUAAACAUCUUACUGAUGUAUACUAAGUUUCAACUAUUAAGAAACCAUUAGAAAUAAGAAGUUCGAUUUUGACACUCUAAUUCAAUAUAAAGCACCAUUUGUUUACUAAACAGCUGUCUCAUGUGAUAUUUAUAACUACUGCAUGCAAGAGACAGCUGUGAUCUCUAUUGAAAUAGAUUUGUGCUAUAUAUAAAUUUGUAGAUGAUAUGCAUCUCUUUAUUUAUGGAAGAGUCAUGCAAAUUAAAUUAUUCCAUAUUAAUACAAAGUUCAUCUACACUCUACCUCCAAUAUUACUGUUUCACAUUACUUUAUGAACUCCAUCCAUUAAGCAUGGGAUCAAGGCUGUGCUAAUGAGUUGUGAGUGACUAUAAUUCAGUAACCACUACAGAAUCCCCAAAUCAUAUAUUUCACAUAAUUUGUUACAUAAUGGAUGUAUAUGUAACAUUCUUAUUAAAGUUGAGUAAAUAUGAGAAUAAUGGUACUUGAUAUGUUAAAAGUCUUUAAAAACAAUCAUUAAACAAGAAAAAAAAUUUCUCUCAGAUAAUUCAUCUUCUAAGAUACUUUGCUCUCAAAUAGCUCGUCAAACAAUGUAACUAAAUGCAAUAAAAUAAUAAUUAGUGUAAGAGUAACUUACAAAAAGGAUAGAGGUAACCCAUUUUGUUAAUAGGGAAACUGUGGCAAUGAGAGGCGAAAUCCAAACUCACAGAACUGUUGACUGACAAAGCCAGAUAUAUAAACACAAGCUUGAGUGAAGUUAAAGCUCAUGGUUUUGCACUAUAACAGAUGCCUCUCUUGUGAAAUAUUCUAUACAAAAAUCCAAACUGAAAAGGCUCAAUUGCUCCAUUACCCUAGCAUCGGCCCCAUCUCUUCUCCUAUAAGCCAGGUCAACAAGGGUUCUGACCAUUAGGCCAUCAAAUGUAGUAGACAUGUAUGUAGCCUGGGUGUUGUUCUUGUUUUCCCUCAAUUUCCUUGUCAACUCAUUUUUCUAUAUAUUUCUCAACAUAUUAUAAUCAUUUUUAUCACUAUAUUCUUUGAUCCCCAACAACUAUUUUCACCUGUUUAACUACAACCAUUGGUAAGUUGUGGAUGUUUAUGGAGUUAGUGAGUUCCUUCUUGUAAUGCAAGGGAUUUUUGCUAUCAUUUAUUAAAUACAUUAGACUGAUGAUGUGCAAAAUAAACAUUUGCAAUCAAGGUUGACUGUAUUUAAGAAAUUGCCUAUAAUAAGAGUUAUAUAGGAGUUGCAAAAUCUGUACUUUCUUAAUGCUUAGUAGAGUCUGCAUAAUAGAAUGGCCUGCUCUAAGAUUCCCUCAGUCAUUCCAAACCUCACCUCUUUCAUUCAUACAUUCAGUCAUGUAGAUGAGACAUAACCCCAGAAAAGUUAAAGAAAACAUUGGUUGUGAAUAACAUCUUCAGCCAACUAUGUACUUUGUCUACACCACUUUUCUGAAGGGGUAAUAUUUCACACUUGCUCAACGAAGGGUUUGUUGGAAAAAUGAAUGAGAUAAUCCCUGUAAAUCCUAGAAGCUUUCUGAACUAAGGUUACCAUAUACAGAUUUUACCCAGGUAACACUUUAACAAGCUGGGUCACUAAGAAAGCGCUUCCUUUUGCCCUGAAAUCAUUAGUUGGUGCUUCUAUAUGUAAAAGCCAGUAUUUUGUCAGGGGCCUCAAUAACAUGUAGGGUUCUCAGGAACACUGAAUUCUAAUGCUGUGGUUAAUCCUCAGCAAUUUUUUGAAAGUGUGUGUUUUAGCUUCACCUACAAAAGACCUAACAGAGAUUUCCUACAGAACAAACAUCAGCAGAGAGGAUAAUUGUAGUGCCCUUUACAAAAACAACUGUUAUGACUAUUUAGCCAGAGCCAGCAAUGUUGGACUUGUCCCCACUUGCUGAGAAACUCAGGAGUUGUUCUACUGAGCUACCCUUACUCACACAGUAGACAAGCCUCCCAGCCUGGCUCAUGAUGGGUCUUGUCGUAAUUCAGCUGGAGCCACUGGUAAAUAUCCACCUGUCUAUUACUCAUUAAUAGAGAGAGACAGGAUGUCAGCUGUUUCCGUGACUUGGAGAAACAUAGGCUUUUACCACCUUCUGGCUUACUCUCAAAGUAUAUUAGAAACAAUAAGGCAGACAAAGAUAAAAAAGAGCAGGAAGAUGCAAUGUCAAAAAUAAAAAUAAAUCAUCAUUGGCUGAAGGAUACAAAGAUUACAGCCUUUAACUUGCUUUGCAGGUUUUCAUAAUUCAACUUUGGCAGUUUAGUCAUCUUAGAAGAUAGGGAAAAAUAGACUCCAAACUGAUUUACAUAUAGAAAAAUUUAUUCUGCUAAUGCUAAUAGAUAUUAUAACAUUUGUUUAUUAACCCCAUCACUAAUAUUUAGAUCAUAUAACUUGUGCUUACCUGUUUGAACAGUAAAUAACUUACAUGUCACAAUAUGCUUAAUUAUGAUAAAAUAAGGCAGACAAAAUUGCUUCCUGUGUUCAAUUUUAAUCCCAGAAAUUGUUUUCUGUGUCAGUUACAAAACUAGUGGUCUUAAACAAACUCUAAAAUUCAGUGGUUCAACACAAUAGUUUAUUUCUCACUCAUCUAAUAGUUCAGGGCAGGUGUUCCAGGAGAACAGAGAGCUUCCUGUUACAUGAGCCGUCAAGACUCAGGCCUCAUCCAUUCUGCGGCUCUGCUACCCUUUAGAACUGUGUCAUCUUCUGCCUUCAGCAGGAGGAGGACAUAGGGAGCAUGAAGAAGACACAGCACUGAUCACAUUGUCCAGGAAGUAACACACAUCACACAUGGGACCUACCUAGAGGCAAGAGGACUCAGACAUGAAGUCUUGGAUGGGCAGCCACUGCCCUUGCCCUCUACACCUUGGAAAAGGAGAUAUAUACUCCAAAGGACAGUGAGCCACCUCUUCCACAAGCACUAAUCUAUAGAGAUGAGGCACAUGAAGAAAAUUAUUCCCAAAUGCCUCCCCGUUCAUUGGAUAAUGCCUGAAAUUUUACAAAGUUUCAUUAAUUUAAGACUGACCAUCUGUUAUAAGGCAAACAUUCUUCCAACUGUUUAUUUACAUUGUGAAUGACUUUCUGCUCCUAUAGAAGAAAUUUAUAGCAUUAAAGGGGCUUUAAAAGAAGAAAUCCUGAGACUAUGGAGAUGAGAGAAGAGUGGCAAGAGAGCUUUGGAAUCCCUCUCUCUGAGGUCACCUCAAACCUAUAGGCAGAGCCCUGAGACCCCCUAUGGAUGCUCUCCUCCCCAACUAAACUAAGAGACACUUUCUGUCUCUAGCAGUAGAAAACUCAACAACUCUAGAAACUCAUGGUUAGUCACAUCUACAGCCAGUCAGGCUCUAGUCCUGUAACCAGGACUAGUACUUGGCCUUUUUUCAGCAGCUGUGACAAAGCCCAUGCCUUGAAACUUUUCCUAUGACUGGAUCCUUACCUCCAUAUCUGAAUAAUUACUUAACUUUGCAUGGGAAUUCUACAUAUAUCAGUCUCAUACAAGCUUUGCAAUAAUUAGUAAGUGAGGUAGGUAUUAUUAUUCUCUUACAAAGAUAAAGAAUCACAGGGAAGUUAAGAACACACUCAAGUUAAUGCAGCUAUUACAUGGCAAAGCCGAGACCUGAAGUCAGACCUCACGGUCCCCAGCCAAUAUUCCUUCUACAAUGAAAUACUGUCCUACUGGAUACACCUCUCUCUCUCUCUCUCUCUCAGCCUGAGGCUUGAGGCCCUGCUUGUUGACACAGCCCUCUAGCCUUCCAUGUCUAGAGUUCUAUUCCUUUAAUGUCUUUAUUGCACAGAUAAUUAUGGAUCAAUACUAGGAGCCAAGCACUUGGUUUGUGACAAAACAAACAUGCUGCUUCCCAUUCGGGGGUUAGCCUACUCACCAAAAAAUAAAUGUAUAAUUUCACAUAAUCAUAAGCGCUACAAAAGAAAAGUGGUGCAAUAGAAGCAAGCAGGUGGCGGGAGGGCACAUAGGGACAGGAAACCUAUUUUGAGUGGGGCUGUCAGGAAAACCUCUCUGUGGUGUUGACAUUUAAGCCAAGACCUGAAAAAUGAUGUCAGUGGUGAGAAGAAAGUGAUGAUAUUGGUGGGGUAGGAGUCCCUAGAUCAAGAAAGCUUUGACAGUACAAGAAAAUGAGAAGGAGGCCAGUGUGCCUGAAGUAUGGCAGGGAGGGGAGCAGAGAUGCAUUUGGAGUAGUGUGCCUGCCCAAACAUAGAGGAGUUAGGAUUUAUCGGAUUGACAACUGGGAUCCACUGAAGAGUUUUAGCAGAAGAGUAAUAUGAUCACAUUUAUUAAAAGAUUAUUCUGGUCUUUAACUCCUGACCUCAUGAUCCACCUGCCUUGGCCUCCUAAAGUGCUGAGAUUACAGGCAUGGAGAAACCCUGUCUCUACUAAAAAUACAAAAAUUAACUGGGCGUGACGGCAUGCACCUGUAAUCCCAGCUACUCAGGAGGCUGAGGCAGAAGAAUCGCUCGAACCCAGGAGGCAGAAGUUGCAGUGAACCAAGAUUGCACCACUGCACUCCAGCCUGGGUGACAGAGCUAGACUCUGUCUAAAAAAAAAAAAAAAAAAAAAAAAAAAGUGAAAAAAAAAAGAUUAUUCUGCAGGUGCUUUGGAGAAUAGAGGGGAAGAAGGCAUGGAUGAUGGCAGAGAGGCACAGCAGUGGCCCAGGGAUGAGAUGAUGCCUUGGAAUAUGGUAGUGGUAGACAGAGGAGUUAAAUAUGUAGAGUUGAGAUGCACUUGGGAGAUAGAAGUGCUGAUGGAUGAGCUUUGAGGAGCAAGAGAAAGGAACACAUUAAGUUUGGCUUCUCAGGUUUUUGCCUUUUGCAACAGGACCAAGCUCAGCUUCUGAACUGGGAAAGGAUGAGACUUUGUCAUUUUAUAAUGACCAUAUUUCUCAAUGCUAAGAUGCAUUUUUUUCCUGCAAUUUGGUGUUUCUGAAAUCGAUAUGUCUUACAAUCAAUAUCAAAGGAAAACUCCAGAGAAGCUGUGACAACAUUGUCUUCCCUUACAAAUAUGUGAAGUUGGCCCAAGGUGGAAGACAUCUAUCCAUUCAUCAGAUUGUCACCUAGGCUAUUUGCACUGACUGCACAAUACAUGGUGCAUCUUAAUUUGCUUUACUUAACAUGUUUGCAUAGAGAUUACACUACAAAGCAGCCUUGAAAUGAUAAGACAUUGUAUAUGCAGAAGAACAAGAAAUACAUUAAGUAAAUAAAGUUGGAGAACACAAAUUUACCAUAAAUGAAGCACAUAUUUGCCCCUGAAAAACUUUUUUUUUUACCAUAAAACAAUGAGCUAGUGUUUUUCAGGCUCUGAAAAUUAAAGAUAGCCACAAGAGAUAAACUGGGGCUCAUGGCAGGGUAGUAGUGAGGCUGAAGGAGCUGUCAUUAAGAUAUGUACAAAUGUUACCUAGGCUGGGCACCGUGACUCAUACUGGUAAUCCCAACACUUUUGGAGGCUGAGGCAGGAGGAUCACUUGAGUCCAGGAGUUCAGGGCUAGCCUACGCAACAUAGUGAGACCCUGUCUUUACAAAUAAAUAUAUAAAAAUAGCUGGGCACGGUGGCAUGUGCCUAUAGUCCCAACUACUCAGGAGGCUGAGAUGGGGGGAUCCCUUGAGCCGAGUUUGAGGAUACAAUGAGCUAUGACACUGCGCUCCAGCCUGGGUGACAGAGCAAGACAGUCUCAAAACAAAUAUAUAUACACAUACACACACACAUACACACACAUACACACACGUAUGCGCAUAUAUAUGUAUAUAUAUGUAUCUUGUCAUAUACCAGGUAAUAUAUUAAAGGCAAUACCAAUUGUUCAGUUCUGAGUAUUUCAUAAUAGGAUUUUCAAUGAUAGGAAAGAUUAACUUGAGCCUUUCAGACGCUAAUUAUCUAUCUGACUAAAACAUUCAGGUGACUUUCGAAGAAGCUGUUUGAAUGCCAGUGAAACGAAGUUUGAUUAAUUUAGAUAAGAGGAUAUGCCAAACAUUUCAAUUGCACUUCAAUUUUCCCUACUUUUUUUUUUUUAAAGAGCAUUUUCACUGUGUUGUGGGGAGCAGAGGGUAUUCCAAGCCCCAUCUAAAGAGGCAUGUGGUGUCUGACAUCUAGGCCUUGCCCAGUAGGCAAUCCAGUGUGACAAGGAAAGACAGAACUAGCUCUUUGUAUUCCAGCAGGUUGAAUGCAGCCUGAUCUCUGAGUGCAUGACCAGAGCUAGAAAGGAGUAGCCAACCUGGGUCCUAAAACUUCAGACUGAGGAAGCAACCCCUGGCCCUGAGAAGUGGUAUCUUUCAUCAGGUAUGACACUUAUGGAAGAAUCAGCCUCACAAACCAUGCUGACCUGUGCCAGGAGCCAGGCAUGGAAAUAAAUAAAGACCAAGCAAAUGAGAACAGAUAAAGGCUAUUUAUUCAGAGCUAUAGGGAGGGAGUUAGCCACCAUCAUUUGUCUGUAAACAGAAAUUCAAAGGAGUGGAAAAGCAUUGUAGUGGGGAAAAAAGAGAAGGCUUCAGGUGUGCCCUGACUGGAGGCUAUUGGCAUGGGAAAGCUUUAGGCGGGCUGACUAGAAGCAAAGCACCCUCUGUAAUUGGUUAGGGGUGUAUAUUAAGUUUUCUUGGGUUGGUCUGAAGUUGAAUGCAGAGACAAAAAUAAGAAAAGAUGUUACUAAUCAAGUCCUGGGCAUCUGUAGCUGAUUGUUGCAGGGGCUAUUGUUUAGGUUUCUAGGCUGGUUGCUGGACAUACUGGUCUGACUUCCUGAAAGUCUGACUUAUAGAUAGGCUGGUGUUCUGGGCUGGUAACUGUAAAUAAUUGAGUUCUAGGCUGGUUGCUGCAGAUUGUAGGUCAGAGCUCGAUUUCUUAUAUGUUCUGACCAUUCUCAGUUUGUAUAUGUCAGUCUCUCAUAGGGCCACAGAGACCUUACUCCAGUGAGGACCAGCAAAGUCUCAGGCAGAGGAAGGCUAUGCUUGAUAGCAACACCAUCUGGUGAGAAAAGCUGGUAUUUGUAGCAGCCGAGUUCCUUCAGGAGGACCAUAUAUAGCACUGCAGUCACUUCAGGAGUAGACAUUUGCUGUAGAACUUAUCCAGAUAAGUACUGAGUAUUUAUUUCAAAAGUACUGAAGAAACCUAGAAAUGGAUUUCAAUUAAUUUCGGAUCUGAGCUGAAUUAGGAGCAGGUGAGGAAGAGAAUAGGUUUCAACAAAACAGUGAAAAGUUUUGAUAGAACUCAACUCCUGUGAAAUACCAUCUUUGCCAUCAAUUUUACUUUACUUAUCAUCUAUGAUAUGCAUCUGAGUAUAAUUAAGCAAAAGCUUCUCAUCAUUUAAAAAGUAGCUAACAGGACUAGGUUAAAUGGUGAACUACCAAUGGUGGCCACCCAUGCAGUGUUCUUAGACAUAUCUUAUAGUUCUUAAGGCAACAUGGAAUUAUACAUGUGCUUCAUUAUGAGAAAAAUAAUUACAAAAAACCCAGUUCAGCAAACAAAAAUGGCAUCAAUGUUACAACAAUAAUGAAAAGUACCAACAAGCAGCAUAUACAUAUAUAUACACACACACACAUACAUACAUAUAUAUAUUAUAUAUAUAUAUGUAUAUAAAAAUACAGAUGGGAUUGAGGAUUUCCUUAAGGAAGACUCUAUUCCUCCUUAACAUUGCAUUUUAGUUGAAGACAACAUCAAUGAAAAGUAUUUUAUUAACAUAUUUUUCUAACAAUUAUUUGAAGGUUCCCAACAAUUGGUCUGCGUUGACCUCACAUGUGCCAAUAUUGCAUUCAUUGUUUGCCUAUUCUGAGCAAGGUACUGUGUUUUUUAUUUUUCCUUAAAUAUUAGAAUCUUGUCUAUCACAACCAUUGCAUUAUCUCAAAGUUCUUUCUAAUAAAUUUUAGAACAACCCCACACAAUAGGUAUUAUUAUUCUCAUUUUACUAGUACAAAAACUGAGGCUUCAAUAGGCUCUGAGACUAAAUCAAAGUGAACCAGCCAAUAAGUGUGAAAGUCACUUUUCUUCCCAUCUAAAAUAGUCUUUGUUUCACACAGAAUUUUGCUUUUGAGACUUAGCCACAUAAAUACAUAUGGAUCUGGUUCAUUCCACUAAAGGGUUACACUUUAUUUCCUUUUUUCUUGGCUACUUAAGCUGCUUCUAAUUUUGCUCUUAAAAACAGCACUGCAGUGAACAUCUGUAUAUAUAUUGACAUGUACACUAAAAUAAAAAUAUUUGUUUAGGCUCUGAAUAUAUAUCUAGAAGUAAAAUUUCUGGAUUAUUGAAAAUAUCAACUUUACUAGAGAUUGCAAAAUUACUCUGCAAAGUGGUUGUACCGAUUUAUACUUCUCAGUUGUUCCUUUGGGUUUCUUCACUCUAUAUUCCUCCAAAAUAAGUCAAACUGAUACAUAUGAAAUGGCAUUUUAUUGUGAUUUUUUAAAUGUACAUUCUUUCAUGUAUUUAAUGAUCAUACAGGUUUCCUUUUCUGUGAGCCACCUGUUAUAUACUGUUAUGGUCUGAAUUGUGUGCCCUCAAAAUUUUUAUGGUGAAAUUCUAAACCCCAGUAGCUUAGGACAUAACUCUAUUUAAAGAGAUAGGGUCUGUAAAGAGGUAGUUAAGAUUGAAUGAGGUAAUAAGAAUAGGACCUAAUCCAGUAUGGCUGGCAUCCUUAUAAGAAGAGAAAGGGACACCAAGGGAUGCAUGCACAUAGAGAAAAGAGUAUGUGGGGAACACAGCUAAAAGGUGGAGAGCCACUUUCAAACAGUGUUGCCUUCCUCUUCAAAACUCAGUGCUGCUGGGCGCGGUGGCUCAUGCCUGUAAUCCCAGCACUUUGGGAGGCCAAGGCAGGUGAUCACUUGAGGUCAGGAGUCAAGACCAGCCUGGCCAACAUGGUGAAACCCUGUCUCUACUAAAAAGACAAAAAUUAGCUGGGCAUGUUGGCACAUGCCUGUAAUCCCAGCUACUCGGGGGGCUGAGGCAAGAAAAUGGCUUGAACCCGGGAGGUGGAGGUUGCAGUGAGCAAAGAUCAUGCCAUUGCACUCCAGCCUGGGCAACAGAGCAAGAUUCCAUCUCAAAAAAAAAAAAAAAAAAGUUAGAUACUGUUAAAUGUUGGAAAGAAUAUAGAUCAAGGGAAUCUCAUCCACUGCUGGUAGGAGGGUUACCUGGUAGAGUCUCAUUUGCAAAUAAAGCUGGAGGCAUCGUGCUACCUGACUUCAAACUAUACUACAAGGCUACAGUAACCAAAACAGGAUGGUUCCAGUACCAAAACAGAUAUAUAGACCAAUGGAACAGAACAGAGGCUUCAGAAAUAACACCACACACCUAUAACCAUCUGAUCUUUGACAAACCUGACAAAAACAAACAAUGGGGAAAGGAUUUCCUAUUUAAUAAAUAGUGUUGGGAAAACCGGCUAGCCAUAUGCAGAAAACUGAAACUGGAUGCCUUCCUUACAGCUUUUACAAAAAUUAACUCAAGAUAGAUUAAAGACUUAAAUGUAAGACCUAAAAUCAUAAAAACCCUAAAAGAAAACCUAGGCGGUACUAUUGAGGACAAAAGCAUGGGCAAAGACUUCAUUACUAAAACACCAAAAGCAAUGACAACAAAAGUCAAAGUUGACAAAUGGGAUCUAAUUAACUACCAUCAGAGUAAACAGGCAACCUACAGAAUGGGAGAAAUUUUUUGCAAUCUAUCUAUCUGACAAAGGGCUAAUAGCCAGAAUCUACAAAGAACUUAAACAAAUUUACAAGAAAAAACAAACAACCCCAUCAAAAAUUGGGCAAAGGAUAUGAACAGACACUUCUCAAAAGAAGACAUGUAGCCAACAUAUGAAAAAAAGCUCAUCAUCACUGGUCAUUAGAGAAAUGCAAAUCAAAACCACAAUGAGAUACCAUCUCACACCAGUUAGAAUGGUGAUCAUUAAAAAGUCAGGAAACAACAGGUGCUGGAGAGGAUGUGGAGAAAUAGGAACACUUUUACACUGUUGAUGGGAGUGUAAAUUAGUUCAACCAUUGUGGAAGACAGUGUGGCGAUUCCUCAAGGAUCUAGAACCACAAUUUCAUUCCAGCAAUCCCAUUACUGGGUAUAUAUCCAAAGGAUUAUAUAUCAUUACACUGUAAAGACACAUGCACACCUGUUUACUGCAGCACAGUUCACAAUAGCAAAGACUUGGAACCAACUUAAAUCCACAUCAAUGAUAGACUGGAUAAAGAAAAUGUGGCACAUAUACACCAUGGAAUAAUAUGCAGCCAUAAAAAAAGAAUGACUUCAUGUCCUUUGCAGGAACGCGGAUGAAGCUGGAAACUGUCAUUCUCAGCAAACUAACACAAAAACAGAAAACCAAACACCACAUGUUCUCACUCCUAACUGGGAGUUGAACAAUGAGAACACAUGGACACAGGGAGGCGAACAUCACACACCGGGGCCUAUCGGCGGAUGGGGGGCUAGAGAAGGGAUAGCAUUAGGAGAAAUACCUAAUGUAUACCAUGGGUUGAUGGGUGCGUGUAUACCUAUAUAACAAACCUGCACAUUCUGCACAUGUACCCCAGAACUUAAAGUAUUAAAAAAAAAACAACACAUACUCAGUGCUCUUCCUACUCCUUGUUUCCAUGAGGCAAGCUUCCUAAGUGGAAGAAAUAUUUAAAUGAGACUAUUAUCAGAUACACCAGAGCAAACAUAAAAAUGUGUGCUGUGCUUCAAAGUAUUAGGCUGGGGCAAAAGCAACUGCAGUUUUUGCCAUUAAAAGUAAUGGCAAAACUGCAGUUGCUUUUGCACCAGCCUAAUAUUUACAUCAGGGAGCUAACUACCUAUUUGAACUUUGAACUCCGCUUUUGGAAACUGCCUUAGAACUUGUUUACAUGCUUCAAAAGAUAGUGAGCCUCAAGCUUAUAAUCACCCUUUCACUAAAAUAUAAUCAUCCCCUAGAACAGGGGUAAGCAGCUGUCUCCUUAGGGUGACUUUGAAAGGGAUGAAAAAUGCUUCAGUGUUCCUCCAGAUAACUCAUUCACCCACUGGGUGAAGCCUGAAAUUCUGACCCCUCCCCAUAAGAACUUAAUCCCUUUAAAAUUUGAUCCUUUAUUAAAAUGGAAAACCCUACAAGAAGACUAACAAAGGAUCUAAAAGCAAAAUAUCAAGCUGGAUUGCUCUCGGUGUAAUUUAUACUAAUUUCCUCUCUUACCAUAUUUGUAGAAUGCUGACAUAUUCACAUUUUUCUCACUUUGGCUCCUUACUUUGAAAACCAUAGCCACACUGGACUGUUAUUAUAUAUGUCUUGGUACCUAAUGUCUUACUUGUUCAAGGUAAUUUGUAUUUUAACAGUAGUCCUCUGUAAGUAUAUUUUAUUGGUAAAAUAUUCAAGCCAAUGGUAGAAAAUAUUUUUGCAGAUGUAUCUUCCCGCCCUGAUCAUCACUCUUUCUCAAUGUCUUGAAUUUCACUUCUUUGGGUUAGCAUACGGUUUUGGAGAUGCACAUGGAAGUUGGUCAAAAAUUCCAACUACAGGAAACUUCAAUAUAUACCAAUUUUUUUCUCUAGGAAAUUACUGUGACUUUUUAUUUAAUGUGAGUAGAGCUCAUUCAAAGAAAUAAUGAUUUAUACAAUUUAUCUGCUAUUCCUUUUAGCAAUCAUGCAGAAUUAUUCAUUUUGCUCCUAGAACUGGAAUAUCAAAAAAUCUUAUCUCCAAGUCACAGAAUAUGAUAUUUUAGAAUUUACAAUGUGGAUGUUUUUAUCCCCUUACAUGACCAAACAGAAAGUUGUAAGCUGUGUUCAUGGGACUGGACUUAAGAUGUGAAAAUGGACCAUACUAACUUCCCAUUUUGUUGUUUCCUCAAGUUCUGCGAUUUAUUUACUUAACAUUUACUUAAGACUUAACAAGACAUAUUUAACAUAAAGGCUUUCCACCAAAGAGGCACAAUUUAGACCAUGUAUUUGCUUACUCUGUUUCUAGGUCCUGAUGCAAGCAGCAAUGAAAAUUGAGCUAUCUGUUCUCACACCCAGCCUGUAGUAAUCAGUAUUUGAAGCAAAAGGAAAAAAACAAAUACCCUACUUAAUCUUUAACCUUAACUUGUCCCUACUGAAUGGAUCUGGAGCUAACAAUAUUAAGAGUUUUUUAAAAAACUGGGAAGAAUAAAACAAAAAAACCGGAAAGAGAACAGAGAAAUAAGAAAAUAAAAUGGACAUACCAGAGAGAUUUGCACCUGCUUAAUGGAAAAAAAAUGAUGUCAGACCCUCUUUGCCUUCUCUCCCUUAAGUACAGGGUUAGACAAUUUGCAAAAUGGUAGAGCAAAUAAUUUGUGUUUCUUCAUAUAUUCUCCACUCUUGAUCUCUCAAUACUUUCAGUUAGCUUUUUGGUUCAUCAAAUCCUUUCCUCAGAUUCUAUUUAAAUGACAUUAACAUUUGCUCACUGGGAAUAGGACUGAUAUUAUCAACUUACUUAACAAGGGCUAUGAAAUUUGAGACAGACUGUGGGAAAAUGUUGGCUCAACGGGUAGUACUCUAUUUCUGGUUCUCUUUUCUGGGCCAGAAUGUCAGAGAGAUAAGUUUCUGAAUUCACACGAGUUACUUUCCCUGCCCUGGCUGCACAUUGCAUGGCAGAUGGCCGAGUGCGGACUAAUGUUCUUUAGUAACUUAAGUGUGGGAUGGAACCAAAGCCAAAUUAUUAUCUUCACUUUUUUUUCUUGAUCAGAGAAGCAGCCUUGAAACUCAUGACCCCAUUCUUAAACAGUGAAAUGUCUUUUAAAAUACUGGUUCAUUUUAAGUAACAAACCAGCAAGACACUAUAUUCUAUGGAUUUAUCUCUAAGCUACAAAGAAAAUCCUAAGAGCAAAGGCUUUUGAUAAAUUAGUGGUUACGUUUCAGGCAAUAUUUUUGUUUCGUCUAAAACUGUUUAUUUUUAAUUAUAUGCUAUAUAAUACAUGCCAAAUAGUAUAUAAAACAUAUUAUUUUAUUUACUUUUUAUAUAGAAUAUAUAGAGAGAAAGAAGUGUUAUCAGUAGAUUAAAGAACCCAUGAGUACCUCUCCCUGAUAACCACUUAUUUCCCACUAGGGAUGAUCACUGUGAUAAAUUCAUUAAUUACUUCUUUUCAUAAUUUUGCUUUAUAUGUAUAUCUUUAAUGUAUGUGUAUCAUUGAACAAUUACUGUUUUUGUUGAGCCCUACAUAAAUAAAAUCAUAGAAUGUGUGUUUACAUGGCUUGCUUCUUUCACUCAACAGAUUUUAAGAUUCAUCCAUGUUGACACUUGCAGCUUUCAUUUAUUUAUGUAUACUAUAUACAUAACAUAUACUCUAUGCUAUACUACAUACCAUGCUAUGAACAUAUAGUAUAAAUACAUCAAUAUUUAUUUGUACAUUUUAUAGUUGGUGAACACUUGAAUUUUCCUGGUUCUUGACUACUCAGAAUCAUGCUGCUGUGAACAUUUUUGUACAUGUCUUAAAUGCGCUUGUGCAGGAAAUUUUCCAGGAGUUGUAUCAAGGAGGGGAAGAGCUGGUCAUAUCCUAUGCACAAAUUCUACCCUUACUGGUAAGACUAAACUGUUUUGCAAAGAGACUCUACCAGGUAACACUCCUACCAGCAGUGGAUGAGAUUCUCAUUCAUCUAUAUUCUUUCCAACAUUUAGCAGUAACUUUUUUUUUUUUUUGAGACAGUCUCGCUCUGUUGGCCAAGCUAGAGUGCAGUGGUGUGAUCUUGGCUCACUGCAACCCCUCUGCCUCCUGGAUCCGGGUUCAAGACAUUCUCCUGCCUCAGCCUCCCGAGUAGCUGGGAUUACAGGCAUGUGCCACCAUGACCAGCUAGUGUUUGUAUUUUCAGUAGAGAUGGGGUUUCACCAUGUUAGCCAGGCUGGUCUUGAACUCCUGACCUUGUGAUCCUCCCGCCUCAGCCUCCCAAAGUGCUGGGAUUACAGGCGUGAGCCACUGCGCCAGGCCUAACAGUAUCUAACUUUUCAUAUUUGCCAAUCUGAUGAGAGUUAAAUGGCAUUUCAUUAGAGUUGUAUAUUUCAUUUUAGGAAUUACUAAUGAAAUUAAACAUUUUUAAUAUGCUUAAGCCAGUCAUAUAUUGUUUUCUAUGAAAAUCCAUUUAUGUCUUUUACCUAUUUUACUACCGAGUAAAUUUAUGUUUCAAUUCUUGAUUAGUAGGAACUAUUUAUAUAUUUAUAGUCACAAUUAUUUAUUAGUUACAUAUGCUUGUAAUAUUUUCUCCUGGGUUUGGAUCAUCUUUUU